rnacentral:rRNA from 1 species
UCCCCCAGUAGCGGCGAGCGAACGGGGAGCAGCCCAGAGUCUGAAUCAGCUUGUGUGUUAGUGGAACGGUCUGGAAAGUCCGACGGUACAGGGUGAUAGUCCCGUACACCAAAAUGCACAGGUUGUGAACUCGAAGAGUAGGGCGGGACACGUGGUAUCCUGUCUGAAUAUGGGGGGACCAUCCUCCAAGGCUAAAUACUCCUGACUGACCGAUAGUGAACCAGUACCGUGAGGGAAAGGCGAAAAGAACCCCGGCGAGGGGAGUGAAAAAGAACCUGAAACCGUGUACGUACAAGCAGUGGGAGCACCUUCGGGUGUGACUGCGUACCUUUUGUAUA